CAAUAGCGUAUAUUAAAGUUGUUGCAGUUAAAAAGCUCGUAGUUGGAUUUCUGGUAGGAGCGACCGUGCCGAACUUGAUUGUUCGAGUAUUGUGUUGUCUUCAGCCAUCCUCGUGGAGAACUUUUCUAACAUUAACUUGUUGGGAUUGGGACCCGCGUCGUUUACUGUGAAAAAAUUAGAGUGUUUAAAGCAGGCAUUAGCUUGAAUACAUUAGCAUGGAAUAAUAAGAUAGGACUUUGGUACUAUUUUGUUGGUUUGCAUACCAAAUUAAUGAUCAACAGGAACAGCUUGAGGAUAUUCGUAUGAACAUGUCAGAGGUGAAAUUCUUGGAUUUUGAUCAGACGAACUACUGCGAAAGCAUUUAUCAAGGAUGUUUUCAUUAA
rnacentral:rRNA from 1 species